UAAGGCCACUUUAGGGCCCAAAACCAUCAGCUCUUUUUUAUGCUCUACCUAUUUUACCUUAGAUGUCUCUUUCGUUCUCUACCUCUGUUUCAGUUUCAAUUACAGUUAAUUUCCAUCUCUCUCUCUCUACCACGAUGAAGCUUUCUCUCCCUCUAGCAAACCGAGAUGAGCUCUCUCUCUCUCUCUCUCUCUCUCGCACGCAGACGAAGAUGAAGAUGAAGCGUUCUCUCUCUAGAUCGCACCAGAACCUCUGUGAUUUCAUCUCGGAUUUCCAAUCAAUCUCGUGACCGUCGUUGCCUAACUUGAGGAUCAUGGAUCGGAGCUUGUCCUCCGUCACCGGGUAGUCGAGGUGUCUCACCUAGCUCUGACAACGAUACAACAACUUUCUGACUCUAGCUACUGCGACGUAUGCCGAGGCAAACGCUGCACCUUAUGGCGUCGUCAGGCGGCGCAGUCGGACCUCGUACAAAUUGUUGAUUUGAAUUCCAUUUGAAUUCCCCUGGCUGUGCAAGUUUUUGUUCGAUAUGAUGCUCUUUGAUCUUUGUCAAGUUCAAAUCUAUGAGAUUUUGUGUAAAUUGUGGAUUUGAAUUCCCCUGAUGAUCGACGCCAUUACCUCCACCACAGAGAGACUCGUUAAGAUCUAUGAGGAUAAUGAUAAUGCAAGGAAGGACAAGGGUUGUUAGGAAAAAAGGAAAGAAUCGCUCUCCUGCAGAGGGCUGUUAGGCCCGUCAUUCUUCUCCCUCUCUUUGUAAUGUGGAUGGCUUAUGAAGAACAAUACCUGCUCUUGUUAUCAGAAUGAAAGUUGCCUAAACUGAUUGUUUCUAUGCACAAAUGUUGAUCUGAUUUGCUUUAAUUUUGAGUUCUUUUGGUACCAUUUCAACCACAUUUUGUAGUUCCACCUUUUGAAACUUUGGAAUCUAAAAGUAUAAGGUAGUUUGUUGUAACUUAUGAUUUGUGUAUGAAGGCUUUGAAUGGGAGUAGUUUUGCUAGUGGAAAUUAUAUA